AGAAUUUGAGGAAUGGUGAACUUCUAAUUGGAUGGCUUGUCAAAACAUGGACAAGCCAGCUUGAAAUGUGGCCACUUUCUAAGUAGAGACACUGUCACGACUCGGUAUUCUCCUCGAGUUCAUAACAACCGCCGUGAUGUCCCGAUAGACAUUCAUUACCCAGAAUGCCAACUGAAACUCUGCAAGGCUUUAAUAUCAGUUUUCUCACCUCCCCUGCGAGCAACAGUUGCUAAUCUCAUAAUUUAAAAGAUUAUAAACUAUUUCCAAACCAAAACAAUAAAAAAAAAAUUUUCGUCUCACAGGGGUAUUUUCGUCAUUUUUUCCUAAAAAUUUCAAAACCAUCUAAAAAUGUAGUAUAUGCGUAAAAGAUACAUAUUUCAUAACCAAAAAUAAGUUUAGAUUUCUAAAACAUUCAUUUAGAGUGAAAUUGUAGCUAAUAGAAUAAAAUAAAAAUAUUGAAUAAAAUAUUCUAUUUUUUUAUAAAAUAAUUUUUAUAGAACUACGCGUAAAUAAUUUUUGUAGCGUAAAAGCAAAAUAAAUUCGUACAUACAGUAACACAGUGAGCCAAAGUGUAUAAUUUAAUUUACAAUGACGUGUGGACCCCCGAAUGACCAAAAGUAACAAAGACUAUGAACCUACGAUUUUUGAAGAUGCAAGUCCAACUGUAGCUCUCAACGAAAUCAGCUAUCUACAGACUAUCCUGAGUCUAAAAUGAGUGAAAAGGAGGGUGGUGAGUUUAUAUAAACUCAGUGAGUAAACAAACAUCAUCUAAAAUAUCUAAAACCGAGUAAAUGGAGACGAUUAAAAUAGAUCAUCAUAAGAUGAUUCAUAACCUCAAAACACAUUUCAAAUCAUCUAAACCAGUUACAUUUCAUCCAAAAUAUACGAAGCUUAUGAAUCUCUUAAAAACUUGGCUCGUGCCAAAACUCAUUCUUGGGGAUACCUUGAUCAGAGGCAUCCAAUCGAGACAGCCAAGGCGGUUAAAAAAAAGUUCAUAUACGCACAAAACACAUUUUUAUGUUUAAAAGCACAGUCGUUCCUUGGCGUUGGUUGAAUUCACUCUCACAUGGUGGUUUAGUGUGAAGUGAACUCUAAACUUUACCUCAGGAGUUACCCUCCACGCCUCUCGUACCGAGGUAAAAUAUAACAAGGUUUACCGUGCCCCUCUAAUAGGCUGGUCCACAAAAACCCGCCCACUGCUGUAAGCUAAUCGAUAUCCCACUAAAUCAAUAAAAUUCCAACAGCAUGACAUGGCAAUUAUUUUACAACACAGCAUGUCAAGGCAAAACAACAGUUCAUAUAUGGUUAGCACAAUUACCAAUCCAGCCACUCAUGCCCACAUUAUCAUAAGCCAUUCAAUUCAAACCAUGAUUUAUAACACAGCAAGUAGUCCCCAAUUACUCCAUUUUCAAAACCAUCAUUCAAUUUCAAGACAAUUUUAUAAAAUCAUUUCAUUUAAUCACAUUUUACUUGUAAAACAUAAAGAUUUACCAUUUAAACUCAUUUUUCUAUCAAAUCACAAAAACGAAUGAAAACUACUUUAGAUAAUUAAGACGAUAAUAAGGUUACUCACAAUAUCGGGAGUUCGAAGUACCCUACUCUUGGUCCUCUGGCAUAAUGUCUUUACCCUUGUUAGAGGACUCACCAUCUAUACACAAUACACGAUAAAUAAUUCAAUAUAUUGUGUCAUAUCAUUAUAAAUCUAUUUCAGGCUCAAUAUGAAUGCAUGAGGUUGUUUGGAUAGUCAGUUAAAAAUGGAAUUCACGUUGGUUCAAGGGUGAUCGGAAUGGAUCAAUUUUCGACCUAAUUUGAACUCUUCACUUUUGAUUUAACCAAAACAUCCAAAUUGACUCCAAAUAAAUUCAUUUCACUUCCAAUACUCCAAAUCAUCAAAUAUAAGCUAGAUAACAUGAAUUAUAGCAAAAUCAUCCUCAACAUUUUCUCUUGGAAAAUUCGGCCAUGGUGGGUGCAUAAGCACUAUGGUUUUUCACACUUGAUUUUUUUACACCAUAAAUCAUUAAUUCCUAACCAAAUCACUUGAAAUAAAAUAAAAUCCACCAUUCACAUACCAUAAGGAAGAUUCGGCCAAUGAGGGUGAUGUAAGAACAUGAAUUUUUCUUGUUUACUUUUUAUAUUACACAUCACCAACCAACUAAAAACACUAGAAUAACAUGAAAUCUAGCUAAAUCCUAGAUCAAAACUCCUCCCCCCAUGUCCGGCCAGCAAAGGUAUCCUCAUGCAAACUUGAUUCUCAACCAUGGAAAAUGAAAAAGAAUGCAUAGGAAAGGUAGAUCACAAGCUAAAAUCAAGAAAUUUUACCUUUACUUGCUCAAUUCCUUGAAAUCCACCAAUUUUCUCUUGAAUUUUCUAACUAGGGUUUUGUUCUUUCUUUCUUUCCUCUUUUCCUUGG
rnacentral:lncRNA from 1 species